rnacentral:tRNA from 2 species
UAUGUAUUGGUGUAAAGAGCAUAAAAAGUUUUGAUCUUAGAGGAGACGGUGUAAUUCCGUUAUACAUAA